GUAUUUCAUUGCGUUAAACGCGACAUACAUUCCAUGAGACUUUGCUACGGUGUGUGUGUAAAGACGUAGGACCACAGCAGGAGGACAGAGCCCCCCAGGCCAUAGAACUACAGAGGGUGCACAGGUGUGAGUGGAUGUGUAAACAGAGCGUGCACAUGCCCCCAUACAGGGACCAGCAACAACUCUUGUUGACAAUUCGGUAAUGAUCCUUCCGCAGGUUCACCUACGGAAA
rnacentral:misc_RNA from 1 species